GAUGAACGCUGGCGGCGUGCCUAAUACAUGCAAGUCGAGCGAACAGACGCUGCGCUUGCUCCUUGGUCGUUUGGCGAGCACGGGUGUGUCACACGUGUAUCACCUCCCUGUCUUUCUGGGAUCAUCUGGGGAAACGGGAGAUAACCGCGUAGAAUAUACUGAACCGCGGGGGUGAAUGGAAAAAGACGGCUUUGCUGUCACUUCUAGAGGGAUACCGGCCGCAUUAGCUGGUUGGUAGGUUAACGGCUUACCAAGGCAACGAUGCGUAGCCGACCUGAGAGGGUGGUCGGCCACACUGGAGGUGAAACACGGUCCAGACGACUACGGGAGGCAGCAGUAGGGAACCGUAGGCAAUGGGCGAAAGCUUGACGGAGCGGGGCCGCGUGAGUGGCAACGACGUUCGGAGCGGAAAGCUCGGUUUUUAGGGAAGAACAGAUGUGGACUUAGAUGUGCCCGUAGUGACGGUACUUAAUAAAAAAGCCACGGCUAACUACGUG
rnacentral:rRNA from 1 species